CGUUUGCUGAGUGCAGGGCACACGCUGUUCCCAGCAAACACACCCAGUGCUCUCCUGGUCUGACGCAUGAAGGCUCUUCACGGGGAGAGCUUUUCCUGUCCUCAUCGCUGGUGAAUGAGAAAACAGCUGGGAGAAGUGAAUAAUUUUUGCUAUCGUUGCAAAACGGUGAAAGGGCCAAGCGGAUCCCUGUGUGUUACCUGUGGCGCUAGAACUAGAAGAGGCGUUUUCAUCAGGAGGCUGGGAAGGAUCUUCACUCUCGAAAGCACAGGACGAUUCUAGAUGGAAUGAUGCAGGCUCCUCAAUGGCAGAGGGCCUCUCCCCCAAUAUCUUAUUGUUCUCAUGCUGCCUGGAACCAUCAGCAAGUUGCCUUCAUUCAUUUGUUCUGAAAAUAAGCCUUGAGUGUCCACUGUGCACUGAGGCUGGAGUCCAGGGUGAGCGGCGCCUGCUCUAGAUCACUCUCGCGAAGAGCUUCGGGAUGCGCAGUUAGGGUGACCAAACAACUAAAUCGCCAAUGACCUUUCAUUGAUUUGAAUGAACAAGCGAUGGAGAUCAACGCUAUUCCUAUGGAACGGGUCCCCAGCUGUUCCCAGGCGUCGGGGUCUGCAGGAUGGCAGGCCCUGGUAGGUUCUAAGGGACUGGGGGCAAGACUGAGGUGCAUGCCCAGGGUGCACCUUUACACCUGCACACCACCACCAGGUAACCGCCGACGACCUCGGCAGACCUGCCCCAGGUCUCCUCGAUGCCUGCUCCUCCGUUGGAGAAGCUGAACACUUCCUAAGAACAGGGAGCCCCCCCCCCCUGGAAGUCCCUUGCCUUCCCCAUUCUUCCUCUGCCUGAGUUUCAGCACGUGUCCACCCGUUUAAGCGACCCUGGUGAGGACGGGGUGAUGGCCCAGCUGGGAGCCCUCAGGAUUCCACCUCCUCCCAGGAUGGACGCCUGAACAACGCCGGAGUUCAGCCCUGGGUGCUGGAGUCUGAGCGGCCCUCGCCCACCACCUGUCCACACCUCUGCCCAGCGGUCCUGGCACACGGUGAGCAGCUGGGUGUCUGCCCAGGGGCUCGGCUCCUGUGGAGGCCGUGGACCACAGUGGUGUUUCCCUGUUGGACAAGAGCUCUCCAGGGCUAGCGUGGUCUUCUUCGUCUUUGAAGCUCGACACCCAACGCGGUCCAGGGCAAACCCGGAGCUCGAUGAAUGUUUGUCCAGCUGAAUAAGGGUUUAAUCAGGCGCAACCCAGCCCCACACCUCCCUUUCUUGCUUAUUCUUCCAGAGACUACACCUGUCGGUCUGGGCUGCAGGUGACUUGGAGGGGACAUUUAAAGAAGAGAAAGAGUAGGCAGGCAGGUAGCAGCUGAAGCAGGGGACAGGCCCAAGAGAACAAUGUCAACUUGGUAGAUGGUGACUGGCAGGGACACAGGGAGACAAACUAACUGAACUCCACCUGCCCUCAUGUCACCUCAGGCUACAGAAAGCUCCUUCCAAGGCCACCUCUCUUGCAAACCCUGGGCCCUUCAGGUCCUUGGCCUCCCUGCCUUCUGCACCAGCUCUUCUUGCAGGGGACUGGGUCUCUAGACCCUGAACUUGGGGACUGACUAACCCCCACAGCUUCACAAACACAGGCCCCCAGUAAGCCAAGUCCAGGUUUAAUUCCAUCCAACCUGGAGGAAUAAGUGACUCCUCAGAGCCAACGGACUGAGGGCUUCUUGGCUCACGAGGAAAAUGUUCUACGAUCACAUGAGCCCAGAGAAAACUCAGCUGGUCAGUGUGGUGUGAGCAGAAACUCUGAGGUGGACCAAGCAUCGAGCUCUGCAAAGCUGAUGUGAUCGGCUCCUGGCCCAUGGACUAAUUCACACAGAACUUAAGACCGUCCCAUCCAGCUGCAGCCCUGGCCGGUCCCCUGUGAUUUCACCAUUGCCUUCUCGCCUGGCUGAACAACUCAGGCGCACCUGGGGCUUCUCCCUGGGAAGUGUAUGGGGUGUGGGAUGCCCAUGCACUGACCGCUUUUCCCCCUCUCAGGUAUUGAGAAGCUGGGGGCCUGAACAGGACACCAGUGUGCCUGGACCACAUGGCCUGGUCUCCAUGGGAAGGUGCCCUGCGAGCUGGGACGUGGCUUCAGCCCUGCCAGGCGCAGGCGGAGGCUCAUCCACGAGGAACAGUGUGGCGGGGCCUUACCUAUGGUGUAGAUCAUAUCGCCCACGGGGCAGGAAGGGUCUGCUUCUCCAAAUUAACUUUCUGAUGGCUUUCCAGUGACAAAAAUAUUGCAGGCAGUUGCAGGGACUCAGGACCGAAUUUUGUCCUCAGUGGUAAUUGCUUCUCAGAUUCUAGGGCCUGGACUCAACCAUUUAUUUGCCCCUUUGGCUGAUUUUGACAGAACAGGGGGAAAGGCCGGCAGCUCCUGGGCACCCUGGUGAGAGAUUCUGGGUCUUGUAGCCCUACUGACCAGCUCCUUGCAAGAAUCCUGCAGGAAUCUAGACAUCGAUGAGAGAUCUCAGGGAUGAGACUGAAUGUCCCAGGCCCUUUACAUGGGACAAGUCUCACCCACGGUCCACAGAAAGCAAGGCCAAGUCCAGUCAAGGCAUAUCGACUGCUAAAGAAAUCUGAAGCGAUGGCAGGUGUCGCUUAGAAAACGAUUUCCUCCACUGAGUGAAAUAGAUAAGCCUCCGUCAUAAAGCCUUUAAUUGCCUGUUAAA